UUGAUCCUGCCGGACUGCUGUAUCUAAUUGUAUAACCAUGCGAGUCGUUGACAAUACAUGCGGACUGCUCGGUACACAUAAGUUGACUUAACCUAUGGAUGGGAAUAACCUCGGGAAACUGAGAAUAAUACCCAAUGGGCCACAGUGCCUGGAAUGGCCUGUGGUUGAAAUGAUUUAUCGCCGUAGGAUAGGACUGCGGCCUAUCAGCUUGUUGGUGAGGUAAUGGCCCACCAAGGCGUAUAACAGGUACGGGCUCUGAGAGGAGGGGCCCGGAGAUGGGUACUGAGACACGGACCCAGGCCCUAUGGGGCGCAGCUGGCGAGAAACCUUUGCAAUGUGCGAAAGCACGACAAGGUUAAUCCGAGUGUCUCCUGCUAAAGGAGUCUUUUGUCAGUUGUAGAAUCACUGGUGAAUAAGGGGUGGGCAAGUUCUGGUGUCAGCCGCCGCGGUAAAGCCAGCACCUCGAGUGGUCAGGAGGUUUAUUGGGCCUAAAGCAUCCGUAGCCGGUUGCAUAAGUUUUCGGUUAAAUCUAUGCGCUUAACGUAUAGGCCGCCGAAAAUACUGUGCAGCUAGGGAGUGGGAGAGGUACACGGUACUCGAUAGG
rnacentral:rRNA from 1 species